rnacentral:rRNA from 1 species
GAUGAACGCUGGCGGCGCGCCUAACACAUGCAAGUCGAACGGUUAAGCCACCUUCGGGUGGGAAUAAAGUGGCGAACGGCUGAGUAACACGUGGGCAACCUGCCCCUCGCACCGGGACAGCCUCGGGAAACCGUGGAUGAUACCGGAUACUCCGCCUCCCCCGCAUGGGGAGGGCGGGAAAGCCCAGACGGCGAGGGAUGGGCCCGCGGCCUGUUAGCUAGUUGGCGGGGCAGCGGCCCACCAAGGCGAUGAUGGGUAGCCGGGUUGAGAGACCGACCGGCCAGAUUGGGACUGAGACACGGCCCAGACUCCUACGGGAGGCAGCAGUGGGGAAUCUUGCACAAUGGGCGGAAGCCUGAUGCAGCGACGCCGCGUGCGGGACGAAGGCCUUCGGGCUGUAAACCGCUUUCAGCAGGGACGAGGCGCAAGUGACGGUACCUGCAGAAGAAGCCCCGGCUAACUACGUGCCAGCAGCCGCGGUAAUACGUAGGGGGCAAGCGUUAUCCGGAUUCAUUGGGCGUAAAGCGCGCGUAGGCGGCCAGCCUGGUCGGGAGUCAAAUCCGGGGGCUCAACCCCCGUCCGCUCCCGAUACCGGCCGGCUUGAGUCCGGCAGGGGAAGGCGGAAUUCCCGGUGUAGCGGUGGAAUGCGCAGAUAUCGGGAAGAACACCGGUGGCGAAGGCGGCCUUCUGGGCCACGACUGACGCUGAGGCGCGAAAGCUAGGGGAGCGAACAGGAUUAGAUACCCUGGUAGUCCUAGCCGUAAACGAUGGGCACUAGGUGUGGGGGGAUCGUCCCUCCGUCCCGCAGCCAACGCAUUAAGUGCCCCGCCUGGGGAGUACGGCCGCAAGGCUA